GGCUGAAACUCGCCUAUAUGAAGUCGGAAUUGCUAGUAAUCGCGGAUCAGCAUGCCGCGGUGAAUACGUUCCCGGGCCUUGUACACACCGCCUGUCACACCAUGAGAGUCGAUAACACCCGAAGCCUGUAGUCUAACAGCAAUGAGGACGCAGUCGAAGGUGGGAUUGAUAAUUAGGGUGAAGUCGUAACAAGGUAAC
rnacentral:rRNA from 1 species